rnacentral:rRNA from 1 species
UACAGAGGGUGCGAGCGUUAAUCGGAAUUACUGGGCGUAAAGGGCGCGUAGGCGGAUAUUUAAGUUAGAUGUGAAAUCCCUGGGCUUAACCUAGGAACUGCAUCUAAUACUGGGUAUCUGGAGUGCAGUAGAGGAUAGUGGAAUUUCCGGUGUAGCGGUGAAAUGCGUAGAUAUCGGAAGGAACACCAGUGGCGAAGGCGGCUAUCUGGACUGACACUGACGCUGAGGCGCGAGAGCGUGGGGAGCAAACAGG